UAGAGUGUCUCUGGUAAGUAGAGCCUUCCCUGGAAACUCUUUCAGACCUUCUGUUGGUUUCUUGUUUGUUUGUUUGUUUGUUUUAUUUUUUUCCAUGAAGUGCUAUUUCACAUGGAGAAAAAAAAGUCCUGCUCUCAUUCUUCCCUGCUGAUGGUCUCAGAAAAGAAAGGCAAAGUCUGGGGUGAAAGAAAAAGGAUUCCCUUGUUUCUUUGGGCGGGAAUGUAAACACUUUGGAUGUGAAGGGUUGUAUUGGUAAAGCUCCUAAGGUUUGGAUAAAGAACAAACUCAAUUUUGUUUAAUAUAAGAGUCCUGACUCCUAGUUCACAAACAUUGGCUUGGAAAAUGAGAGGAAAAAAAAAAUCAGAGGAAACUCCAGUCGUUUCUACAGCAGGAGCAUGGCUUACUCACGGGCCAGAAAUGCACUGGAUGUAGGGGGAGGUCUGCCAGGAGGCAGCAAGGGAAAAAGCACAGAUCUGAGGAUGGUGUUGAAGGUGGGAGAGCACUGUGUCUCUUGGGGUUAAUAUGUGACGUUUCCCUGUUUUUCUAGAUUCUUUUUUCAGAAAACAUACCAUGAGCAAUGCUAGCAGCAGUGUAAGGUUAGGGGUGGCCAGUCAGUACACAAGCAGUAUUCUGAGCUGAAUUUCAAGCUGUUCUGCAGACAUCAUCCUUCUCCAGAAUUAUUGCAAACUCUGGCCAAUUUUACUUGUGAAGUCGACAAGCUGUGCUCAGAAUAAAUUAGCUUCAUGAUAUUCCAAACACUGCAGAAUUUCUAGGAAUCUGGAAAAUAAGUUGGCUAUUUCUGACACAAGAUAAAAGUACUUUACAUGUAGAACUCUUGGCAUCUGUAACUAAAGUGAUAAAUCAGAAACUUAAUCCAAAGAUACUAAUGAUGCCUUCUCUAAGUUUAGAAAUAUUUAUAUUAGUUAGAUACAGACCUCACCACAAAUGCUUGUGGAUUAAUUAAGAAGAAAUAUUAUGUUAGGUAAAAUUAGCGUAUCAUAGCAUGCAGUCCUUGAUGUCCCCUCUCAGUAAAUUAGGCAAUUGAGAAUACGAAAGUGGGAAGAGUGCUCAUCUUAGAGGAUUUCCUCCAGGAGCACUAUAGACAUCUCGCUGAAUUGCUGUUGGGAGGUUUGACGUCUGUGGUGACUCACUUUGUAAGGGCAACUUAAUCCUCCAAUUCUGUGAGGACUCCUGUUAUCAGCUGUCUUAAACAGGAAAGAAAUUCUGUGCUGUAUUUCAAUUGCAAAUCCAUUUCAGUUCAUAAUAACAUCAAAAUACUGGCAAAUUUUCGGAUGAUGAGUCUAGAUGAAGCAUUAGGAUUAGUCACAUAAAUUGAAUUGAGCUUGCCAAGACAACCUUCAAAAACUUAUUGACCAUAUUAGUAGUGACAUGUGAUGAUCUCAAACUCCAAGUCAUUCUAAUACAACUUUACUCACAGAAAACCCUUCUGGUAAGGUAGCUGGAGCUAUUCUUAUCCACAAACAGUUUAGAUUUGUUCCUCUGUUUAGUUUUUUACUGCAGCUGUCCUGUUCUGACUGUCUCAUACCUUGACUCUGAGCACGGCCUGAGUAACCUCUCAGUUUCUGCAAUGGUACCAAAAUUAUGGUCCAUGACGUUCUGGUUUUACUUCUAAACAGAAUGAUCUGUAUGCUCCUGAUAUUACAGCCCCACUCAAUGUAAAUUACUGCAGCCUUCAAGUGACUGCUCUUUCAGGAAAUACCUAUGCUGAAGUUCUGUAAUUGGAUUUCUCUAAUCACCACUUUCAAAAUGCAGAUUAGCUGUUGGGUGAUAAUUUCUAAUUAAAAAAAAAAAAGGCAAAUAUAAUUCUUCAAACAUCAAGUAAUGGUGCUUUUUCCCUUGAGAUUUUUUAUGGGCAAACAGAUGCAAUUAAGUACCUAGUAACAAUAAUACAAAGAAAUCCCAAUAAACUGAUGAAUGUGAAUUUAAAUCCCAUGCUCUUUCAAAUGAUUUCCCAUAUAAGUAGGUGAACAUCCUCUCUCCCUGAGUCUAUGGGGAAAGGUUAGAAUACUAACAGGGAAUAUGGAUUUUCCAUUCAGUCAGUGAAAGCUUUGUCCCUUUCUGGUGCUCAUACCAUGCCACAACUUCAACACAACAGAGGUGGAGGACUUACGGGUAAGAUCCUACACACCCUAACAGCUUUUCCUGUCAUUGGAGGCCUGCCAGAGACCCAGAAUGUCUGGCUACAUUA